CCUACGGGGGGCUGCAGUGAGGAAUAUUGGUCAAUGGGCGCAAGCCUGAACCAGCCAUCCCGCGUGCAGGAAGAAGGCGCUAUGCGUUGUAAACUGCUUUUCCAGGGGGCGAACCUCCCGCACGAGUGCGGGACUGACGGUACCUUGGGAAUAAGCAUCGGCUAACUCCGUGCCAGCAGCCGCGGUAAUACGGAGGAUGCGAGCGUUAUCCGGAUUUAUUGGGUUUAAAGGGUGCGUAGGCGGAUUAAUAAGUCAGUGGUGAAAACCUGCAGCUUAACUGUGGAACUGCCGUUGAUACUGUUAGUCUUGAGUAUGGUCAAGGUAGGCGGAAUGUGUAAUGUAGCGGUGAAAUGCUUAGAUAUUACACAGAACACCGAUUGCGAAGGCAGCUUACUGGGCCGUUACUGACGCUGAUGCACGAAAGCGUGGGGAUCGAACAGGAUUAGAUACCCCAGUAGUC
rnacentral:rRNA from 1 species